AUUGAUUUUCAUGGGCCCAUGCUAUGAAAAUGAUUCUAGUCAGAAAAAAAUAUUGGGGAAAAUAAAUAAUCUAAAAUUGCAUGCUAUAAUGGACCUCUUGUUGCUCCUAACAGGCCUGGUGAAAAUGUUGCCCUCAUAGCAUAAUCCAACAGCUGGAGCGCCACACCAAACACACUUUUCCAUAAAAAGAGCCCACCUAAUGUGUUUCUAGAGACCUGGAGGCCAUACAUGUUCUAUUUCAGAUUAUCUCGGGCUUGAUUGAGUAGGUAACGUGAAGCAGUAAUAGGGUAACAAGGAUAAGUCUUUGGCAGCUUUGCGAAUACGCAGUCUGCGUCUCAAUACACAACCCAAUCAACAUUUGGGCGCUGAGGGCCUGAAGAGACAAGUCUUCAGGGGGAGACAUCUCACUUGCAAAGAAUCCGCCCAAGACUUCGGACCUCUCCUUCUGUAAAGCAUGGACUACCCGAUCAACAUAAGUAUGAGUGCAUGGCCAGGCGGGAACUGUGACACUUGAAACAAAGGGACCCGGCUCGUGUGGUGUCACUCUGCUUCCGUGUGAUUGAUACAGGCCACAGCAGGGGCUUCAAACAAAAACGGAUGUCCACUUCCACCGGGAACUGCAGUGAGACAUAGCUACUGGGAUUUCCAAUAGUACCCACUGCCCUCUGACAGACACCUGCUACGUGGACCACAGCUCCACAUCUCUUCAUCUAGAUUCUACGCUACAGCAUGGUCGUACUGCAGUGAAACACAAUGUCUGGUGAUACUGCAUAACUAAUCUAAUCAUAUAGAAAUGUUUUGCUGUUUUUAUACCAGUAUAUUAAAGUAAGCAUGUAAAAAAUGUAUACGGUUUGUCAUGGCAUGAUGUACGCAAUUAGAUUAGAUUGUUAUUAGUAAGGAUGAUUAUUAUCUCAAUAAAUAAAGAUUUCUAUUGAAAAAUGUGGUUUAAAAAGGAUUAACGCAACAGGGUGUUUAAAUGGCUUAAUAUUGGUUUAGACCACUUGGUAAUUCAGAUAUAGCAACUGUCAGAUGUACUAUCAGACAACUAUUGAGAUAAAGAAAAUCUUGAAGUGACUUUAAAAUACUUCAAAUUAUUUAAGGCAUGCUUGAUUUAGCUUGGAGUAUGCACUCCAGUAUUCCAUUGGUUUUAUUGUGAACAUAAUCAAUUGCACCUCGAGUACUUGAAUGUAUUUGACACAGGUCUGGAGAACUGUGACAACCAACCCAUGUCUCAGUUUCCCCUACUUUUAAUGCCCAGCUCUAUGAAAAGCAGGAAGUGCAAAAUCGGAGCGUUACAGAGAGUUUGUCUCACAACUAUUAAAGGAUAGUUCAUCUUUUCACAAGCAAACAUAUUUCAACCCUCUUAACAUGAUCACACCUGGACGACAGUGCCUUCAAAAAGUAUUCACACCCCUUGACUUUUUACACAUUUUGUGGCGUUACAUGCUGGAUUUAAAAUGGAGUAAACAUAGUUGUUAUUUUAUCACUGGCCUACACACAAUACCCCAUAACGUCAAAGUGGAAAUGUUUUUUUGUUUGUUGAUUUUUUUUUACAAAUGUAUUAAAAAUGAAAAGCUAAAAUGUCUUCAGUAGUAUUCAACCUCUUUGUUUUGGCAAGCUUAAAUAAAUUCAGGAGUAAAAAUGUGCUUAACAUGUCACAACAUAAGUUCUAUUGACUCACUCUGUGUGAAACAAUAGUGUUUAACAUGACUACCUCAUCUCUGUACCCCACACAUACAAUUUUUGUAAGGUCCCUCAGUCGAGUAGUACAUUUCAAACACAGAUUUAACCACAAAGACCAGGGAGGUGUUCCAAUGGCUCACAAAGAAGGUCACCUAUAGGUAGAUGGGUAAAACAAAAGCAGAAAUGUAAUAUCCCUUUGAACAUGGUGAAGUUAUUAAUUACACUUUGGAUGGUGUAUAAAUACACCCAGUCACUACAGAGAUACAGGCGUCCUUCCUUACUCCGAUGCCGGAGAGAAAGGAAACCACUCAGCGAUUUCACCACGAGGCCAAUAGUGACUUUAAAACAGUUACAGAUAAUAAUGGCUGUGAUAGGAGAAACGUGAGGAUGGAUGAAUAACAUGUAGGUACUUCACAAUGCUAACCUAAUUGACGAAGUGAAAAGAAGGAAGCUUGUACAGAAUAAAAAAUACUCCAAAACAUCCAUCUUGUUUGCUACAAGGCACUAAAGUAAUACUGCAAAAACUGUGGCAAUUCAAUUACAUUUUUGUCCUGAAUACAAAGUGUUAUGUUUGGGGCAAAUCCAAUACAACACAUUACUGAGUACCACUCUCCAUAUUUUCAAUCACAGUGGUGGCUGCUGUCACACCAGGAUCUGUUUCACCUGUCUUUGUGAUUGUCUCCACCCACCUCCAGGUGUCACCUAUCUUCCCCCAUUAUCCCCUGUGUAUUUAUUACUUUGUUCUCUGUUGGUCUGUUGCUAGUUUGUCUUGUUUGCUCGAGUCAACCAGCGUUUUGUGGCUCACCUUCUGCUUUUUAUAGUCUCUCUUUCUUGCCCUCCUGGUUUUGACCUUUGCCUGUCCUGACUCUGAGCCUUCCUGUCUGACCACUCUGCCUGUCCCCGAGAAUGCUGA